AAAGUCUGACGGAGCAACGCCGCGUGAGCGAAGAAGGCCUUCGGGUCGUAAAGCUCUGUUGUCAGGGAAGAACAAGUACCAGAGUAACUGCUGGUACCUUGACGGUACCUGACCAGAAAGCCACGGCUAACUACGUGCCAGGUCCUUUAAGUCUGAUGUGAAAGCCCACGGCUCAACCGUGGAGGGUCAUUGGAAACUGGGGGACUUGAGUGCAGAAGAGGAGAGUGGAAUUCCACGUGUAGCGGUGAAAUGCGUAGAGAUGUGGAGGAACACCAGUGGCGAAGGCGACUCUCUGGUCUGUAACUGACGCUGAGGCGCGAAAGCGUGGGGAGCGAACCCUGGUAGUCCACGCCGUAAACGAUGAGUGCUAAGUGUUAGAGGGUUUCCGCCCUUUAGUGCUGCAGCAAACGCAUUAAGCACUCCGCCUGGGGAGUACGGCCGCAAGGCUGAAACUCAAAGGAAUUGACGGGGGCCCGCACAAGUCCCGGGCCUUGUACACACCGCCCGUCA
rnacentral:rRNA from 2 species